AGAAUGAUAGAAUGAACAAUAGAAUCAUAGAAGAUAGAUGGAUAGAUAGAAUGGACAAUAGAAUAAUAGAUUGUUGAAUAGAUAGAAUGAGAGAUCAAUAGAAGACAGAUAGACAGACGGGUGGAUGACAUAUAGCCUACGUAUAUCUAGUAUUCCUGUCAUCACUUUCUUCAUUCAACCCAACGGCUGAAUUAUUGAAGUCAGGUUUCCUGAAGCAAACACAUGAUGUUAGUGCGUCCAUGUGGAUCUAAUGCAACAAUGUUAUCUGAAGGGGUGUGUCUCUCUAAGGGGACACAUGGGCAGACGGCUAAACAUGUCAGGGAUAUUGGAUGUGUUAUGGCGGUAUUUGCUAGAGGUGUCUUCCUCAACUUUGCCUCGGACUCUGAUGAGCUGAGGGACCGCUAUUCCCCAGGUGCAGUGUGUAGGAUUUGGCGGCAUCUAGGGGUGAGGUCGCAGAUUGCAACCAACAGAAAGCGUGUAGGAGAACUACAGCGACCCGAUGCGAAAACGUGAAUGCCCCUAUCGGCCAGUUCUGUGAAGAUGACCUGCUCUGUAUGUAGAUAUAAACGGCUUAUUCUAAGGUAAAGAGACACAACAAUUCUUAUUUUCAGCUGAUUGUACACUAAAGAAAACAUACAUAUUAAUAUUAUAUUCCCACCAAAUGUUGGCAUAGUGUUCCUUUAAUAAACAGUACGAUGUUAUGUUACUGAAAAAAAACACUUGGAAAUGGUGUGUUUUAAACAUCAGAGAAGGGAUUAUUGUAUAAAUUAAUUAUCUAAUAUGGGAUUAAAGUGUUCACUUUGGUACAUAAGUGCAAAAAACUCCAUUGACUGGAGAGGAAAACAAAUCCCUCAUUUCCACAUUAGUCACUACAGCACCAUUGACCUUCAUCUUAAACACACAAAAACACGUAUUAUAUGCGAGACAUCUCAAGCCUUCAUUAUUAAUCAUGUUUGCUAGUGCGUACAGAUUGUGUGCUUGUUUAAAUAAAAGGGAACAGGGAGGCUUUUAAAGCUGUUAUCAACUGCUCAUCUGCCUUAGCUCUUGCCAGGCAGAGUUGUGCUCACGAUACAAAAUCGCCUCAGCAUGGAAAAAAAGGAGGAAACAGACAUUUUGCUGGUUUGUUGACGUCCGCUGAGUGAGAAAAGUUCAGCCGCGGCCAACUCCUCUCGGCCAGCAGGCUUGUUGACUGUCCGCGUGUCAGCCAGGGGUCCCCGGUCUCUCGGCUCUAUAGGACAUGUUGACUUGUUGUUCACAGCACUCUCAGUGCAGAGUCACAGCGACUGUGCUGAAGAAGUGCCACUUCAUCAAUUUAAUUAAAACUACUAUCAGCAUUAAGCAUUGCAUCAGUCAGUAACUGGAACAAUGUGACACAGCUUUAAAUAUUGUUUCAGCACUUU